UGGGGAAUAUUGGACAAUGGGGGCAACCCUGAUCCAGCCAUGCCGCGUGAGUGAUGACGGCCUUAGGGUUGUAAAGCUCUUUUCUCCGGGACGAUAAUGACGGUACCGGAGGAAUAAGCCCCGGCUAACUUCGUGCCAGCAGCCGCGGUAAUACGAAGGGGGCUAGCGUUGCUCGGAAUCACUGGGCGUAAAGGGCGCGUAGGCGGCUGAUUUAGUCGAGGGUGAAAGCCCGUGGCUCAACCACGGAAUGGCCUUCGAUACUGGUUGGCUUGAGACCGGAAGAGGACAGCGGAACUGCGAGUGUAGAGGUGAAAUUCGUAGAUAUUCGCAAGAACACCAGUGGCGAAGGCGGCUGUCUGGUCCGGUUCUGACGCUGAGGCGCGAAAGCGUGGGGAGCAAACAGGAUUAGAUACCCUGGUAGUCCACGCUGUAAACGAUGAAUGCUAGCCGUUGGGGUGCAUGCACCUCAGUGGCGCCGCUAACGCAUUAAGCAUUCCGCCUGGGGAGUACGGUCGCAAGAUUAAAAGCUUAAAGGGAAUUGACGGGGGUCAUAGCUGUUUCCU
rnacentral:rRNA from 1 species